UGUGUGUUGUGUAAGUCGAAGAUGGAAUCAAUCGAGCAUCUCUUCUUCUCAUGCCAAAAAACAGAUGAAGUAUGGAAAGAUAUAGUCUUGUGGCUCGGCAGGCAGACGACAUUUCAUCACCAGGUAAAAGAUCAUUUUAAUGCUUUCAUUAAUCUCGAGAAUAAAGAUAAUAAACGCUUCUUGCUUGGAGUCUGGAUAUGCUUGAUUUGGUGUAUAUGGAAAGGGCGAAACGAUUGCAAGUUUAACAAAGGAAAGUGGAGUAAAGAGAGGAUGGUCGCAGAGAUAAAAUCGUGACUGUGGGAAUGAAAGACAAUUUUCAACUUGCCGUCAUCUUCUUCGGAUUAUAGAAGCUGGUUCCUAGCACCAAGCCUCUCCAACUGAUCAUGAUCAGUGCAGGAGUGCUCAAACUUUGU
rnacentral:lncRNA from 1 species